rnacentral:rRNA from 2 species
ACGUAGGUGGCAAGCGUUGUCCGGAUUUAUUGGGCGUAAAGCGAGCGCAGGCGGUUUUUUAAGUCUGAUGUGAAAGCCUUCGGCUCAACCGAAGAAGUGCAUCGGAAACUGGGAAACUUGAGUGCAGAAGAGGACAGUGGAACUCCAUGUGUAGCGGUGAAAUGCGUAGAUAUAUGGAAGAACACCAGUGGCGAAGGCGGCUGUCUGGUCUGUAACUGACGCUGAGGCUCGAAAGUAUGGGUAGCAAACAG